CCUACUUUACUCUUUAAAUUCUCUAGCUUUAAUGUGGGUUGAUGUUUUGUCUUAUGAUUGGGUCCCUUUAUUUAAACAUGUACAGUCAGUGUAAUAUCCUAAUCUCUUAAGCUUUCUAUAUGAUCAUUAUAGUGAGCUUUAGACCAAUGACUCCUAAAUCAGUUGAUUUUAGAGCAUUAGGUAUAGAAUACCCCUCAAGC
rnacentral:lncRNA from 1 species